GCAGUGGGGAAUAUUGGACAAUGGGCGAAAGCCUGAUCCAGCAAUGCCGCGUGAGUGAUGAAGGCCUUAGGGUUGUAAAGCUCUUUUACCAGGGAUGAUAAUGACAGUACCUGGAGAAUAAGCUCCGGCUAACUCCGUGCCAGCAGCCGCGGUAAUACGGAGGGAGCUAGCGUUGUUCGGAAUUACUGGGCGUAAAGCGCGCGUAGGCGGCUGUUCAAGUCAGAGGUGAAAGCCCGGGGCUCAACCCCGGAACUGCCUUUGAAACUAGAUAGCUAGAAUCAUGGAGAGGUCAGUGGAAUUCCGAGUGUAGAGGUGAAAUUCGUAGAUAUUCGGAAGAACACCAGUGGCGAAGGCGACUGACUGGACAUGUAUUGACGCUGAGGUGCGAAAGCGUGGGGAGCAAACAGGAUUAGA
rnacentral:rRNA from 1 species